rnacentral:rRNA from 1 species
UGGGGAAUAUUGGACAAUGGGCGAAAGCCUGAUCCAGCCAUGCCGCGUGUGUGAAGAAGGUCUUCGGAUUGUAAAGCACUUUAAGUUGGGAGGAAGGGCAGUAAGUUAAUACCUUGCUGUUUUGACGUUACCGACAGAAUAAGCACCGGCUAACUCUGUGCCAGCAGCCGCGGUAAUACAGAGGGUGCAAGCGUUAAUCGGAAUUACUGGGCGUAAAGCGCGCGUAGGUGGUUUGUUAAGUUGGAUGUGAAAGCCCCGGGCUCAACCUGGGAACUGCAUCCAAAACUGGCAAGCUAGAGUACGGUAGAGGGUGGUGGAAUUUCCUGUGUAGCGGUGAAAUGCGUAGAUAUAGGAAGGAACACCAGUGGCGAAGGCGACCACCUGGACUGAUACUGACACUGAGGUGCGAAAGCGUGGGGAGCAAACAGGAUUAGAUACCCCCGUAGUCCCUGAGCGGGCUGGCAAGGCGCAU